rnacentral:rRNA from 1 species
UACGUAGGGCGCGAGCGUUAAUCGGAAUUAUUGGGCGUAAAGCGCACGUAGGUGGCCUGUUAAGUCGGGUGUGAAAUCCCUGGGCUCAACCCAGGAAGUGCACUCGAAACUGGCGGGCUUGAGUACUGAAGAGGGUCGCGGAAUUCCCGGUGUAGAGGUGAAAUUCGUAGAUAUCGGGAGGAACACCAGUGGCGAAGGCGGCGACCUGGGCAGAUACUGACACUGAGGUGCGAAAGCGUGGGGAGCAAACAGG